rnacentral:rRNA from 1 species
AUUGAACGCUGGCGGCAUGCUUUACACAUGCAAGUCGAACGGUAACAGGUUAAGCUGACGAGUGGCGAACGGGUGAGUAAUGCAUCGGAACGUGCCCUGUCGUGGGGGAUAACGCAGCGAAAGCUGCGCUAAUACCGCAUACGAUCUGAGGAUGAAAGCGGGGGACCGUAAGGCCUGGCGCGAUCGGAACGGCCGAUGUCAGAUUAGGUAGUUGGUGGGGUAAAGGCUCACCAAGCCGACGAUCUGUAGCUGGUCUGACAGGACGACCAGCCACACUGGGACUGAGGCACGGCACAGACUCCUACGGGAGGCAGCAGUGGGGAAUUUUGGACAAUGGGCGCAAACCUGAUCCAGCGAUGCUGCGUGCAGGAAGAAGGCCUUCGGGUUGUAAUCUGCUUUUGUGCGGAGCGAAAAGGCUCUCUCUAAUACAGGGGGCUCAUGACGGUACCGUAAGAAUAAGCACCGGCUAACUACGUGCCAGCCGCCGCCGUAA